UGCAACCGCUGCAAAUCAGUUUGUUUUGAAACGUCGGGGAGCGAGGACGAGUCUGCUCGGUCUUCCAAGAAAUUCGUUCGACGCGUUCAAGAUGGAAGUCAUUUAAGUGGUCCUGAUCACCGGCAGGCUGGACACAACGACUGAGGGACGGAGACAACGAACUUUGUGCUUCAUGCACGAACGUUGAUGCGUGAAUUAGAGGAGCCGAGAGUGCAUUUUACACCUGGAUUACACAAGCAAGGAAGCAUGUUUUUCGGGCAAGCUAUUUCGGUUGUUGGGCUUUUUUACAUUGUAUUUUCUCCUAGGUUACGUCAAGCGAUGUCGUAAAUGGGUGAGUCAAUCGUCAACUGUGGUUGGUGUUACGUUCUGCGGAAGAAACGGAAGUUGGGGAAGAACAGCUAUCCAAAGGUGUGGAAGAGAUAAAGAAGCGUGACCACAGAGCAGCUGCAGUGGUGAAGGAGAGACGCAGUGGUCAUCGUUCAUCCAUAUACGUUGUGCCCCGUGUGUUCGGCGUUUGUGCAUCAAUGCACGCUCGCGAUGGACAAGCAUCACCCCUGAAAUGGAUAUAAUUUUCGAAUAAAGGUAUUUGUUUGUUAUA